CUUUACUGUAGCCUGGUAUUGGGUUCGGGCUUUGACUGCGCAGGAUAGGUGGGAGACUGAGAAGUGUGCCUUGUGGGGCUCAUAGAGUCAACGGUGAGAUACCACUCUGUCAGAGCUAGAGUUCUGACCUUCACCCGUGAUCCGGGGAAGGAACCGUAUCAGGUGGGCAGUUUGACUGGGGCGGUCGCCUCCUAAAAGGUAACGGAGGCGCGCAAAGGUGUUCUCAGGCUGGUUGGAAAUCAGCCGUAGAGUGUAAAGGCAGAAGAACGCUUGACUGUGAGAGUGACAACUCAAGCAGGGUGGAAACACGGCCUUAGUGAUCCGACGGUAUGCGCGUGGAAGUGCCGUCGCUCAACGGAUAAAAGUUA
rnacentral:rRNA from 1 species